GCUUGAUAUGUUAACCCAGUUUCAACAUUAACUUACACAAAUGUACAUAGAGUCUCGCAAAAUCGAAAACAAAACCGAGUGUAUUAAAACCUUAGCAAAUUACUAAGAAAGUGGACAUUUAAACUGUUAAUGUUUCGCUAACAUUGGAAUCUCUAUUUUUCUGAAAACCAUUUAUUGGGAAAAAAGUAUUAACGACCAUCCAAUGAUGAUUUCCUAAAACACACCAUCAAUACAACAAGUGCAACUCACAGCGGCGACAAAAUGGGACAAAUAUUUUCGUCACAAAUCCCUGCUCACGAACUUGCCACUUCGUCCACUUCUGAAUCAGCAAAUGUACAACUUGUGAAGUUGAAUAAGUCAGCAGCUGCACGCCUUGUGAUAGCGAUCGACUUCGGUUCUUUUGCAAGUGGAUACGCAUACCAGUUUUUGUCAGAAUUUGAAAACAAGCCAUUGGAAAUGCAUAUCAACACGCGUUGGAAACACGGUGGACAAUCUGCGAACAAAACCCAAACAGCACUACUAUUGAAGCCUGACCUUUUGCUGGGAGAGUUUGGAUAUGCAGCACAACGCAAGUUCAGAACCAUUCAUACAAACGAGAAGGAUGGCGACAACUGGUACUAUUUCGAGGGCUUUAAAAUGACUCUUUACCACAAUCGUGACAACUUAAGUUCAAAUAGUACAAUAGAAGAUGUGAAAGGUCGACAUGUGCCUGCUACACUUGUUUUCGGGAGGUCAAUACAGUACAUUAAAGAACACGUACUCAACAAUAUGCGAGAGAAUGGUAUGGCGUACAUUGAAGAUGUACAAAGUGGGUGAUCACUGUCCCUGCCAUAUGGACAGAUCGUGCAAAAGGCUUGAUGAGAGAAGCGGCAAGAGAAGUGGCUGGAAUUCGGUUAAAUAACUUGACGAUAGAACCCGAAUGUGCUGCCAUCUACUGCAGUCAUCUUACCCGAAACCAACUUGAAAUUCAGGACGAUGAACAACAAUUGCGUUACAUUAAGAAACCUGGCUCCGUUAUCAUAGUGGUCGAUAUUGGAGGAGGGACUGUGGACGUCACCACUGUGCGAGUAAGAGAAACAGAAACUCUGGAGCACGUGCAUAAGUCAGGAGGUGGGCCGUGUGGCGGAAUGAAAACUAAUGAUGAGUUUUUCAGAAUGCUUGAACAAAUCAUAGGUCAAGAUGUCAUGGGGGAGUUUAUCAAAGAAAACCUUCAAGAUUACUUCGAUUUAAAAGCGGACUUUGAAACAGCCAAGCGUGAGGUUUUGGGACAGGACACGGAUGAGCGAUUCAAUGUACGACUUCCAGCUCCUCUCAACAAAAUAUGGGAACGCAAAUGAAGACAAAACAUCAAAGAUUUAUUACAAAAUGCAAAUAUUCCAGGGAUAAAAUUUGCCAAUUCGCGCCUAUAUUUUCCUAUGGGUGUUAUUUUGGAUUUGUAUGAUGAAUGUACCAAAACUAUUCUUCAAUCUCUCAACGGCAUUUUGUCUCAUCCGGACGUUGAAGGCUUGCCGAUUUCCGCUGUAUUGGCGGUAGGAGGUUUUGCCGCGUCUGACUAUGUGGUCAAUGCCUUGCGAAAUGGGCUUAGCCAAAGAGGAAUCCGUGUACUGCGACCAAAUCAAGCCGAAAUAACCGUCGUUAAAGGCGCAGUUCCAUUUGGACAGAAGGAAGACAUUAUUUAUUCACGAAUAAUGCCUUACACAUACGGCGUUGGUUGCGUGAUUAAUUUCAACGAGCGACACAGAGCGGAUCACAAGAUUGAAGAUGGCGGAAAGGUCUUGGCUGUAAAUUGCUUCAGGAAAUACGUUUCCCGCGGCCAGACAGUAAAGCUUGGGGAAUGGAUUGGUCAAAAACCGUACUACCCAGAUGAUGACGCGCAAAGUUCAGCUUCAAUCCACGUUUUUGUCUCUGAUAAAACGGAUCCGACGCAUAUUGAUGAGAAGGGAUGCAAGUGAGUUGGGAAGUUUGAUGUUAAAAUACCAAAGUCUUCUCCCGACGACCAGAAAACACGAGCUGUACAGGUUGCGUUACAAUUUGGAGGCACGGAAUUGCAGGUGAAAGCAACCAGUCAUGAUGGAAAAACGGCAAUUGAAUGGUUACAAUACAAAUAAGUUGGGUGAUUAUAAAUAUUCAAGCUUAAAAACAAACGUUUUUAAAAUGCAGCUUGAUGUGCUCUGGAAUCUUUUUCUACUACUAAGCCGGCAAACUUAAAUUCGUUAAAUGCCAUAUGUACCCUUUGUUUUAAGUUUAUGCGCGCGCGAAUAGAUUUUUUUCAGUUUGUGAUACAGUAAUAUAUAAAAUAUGCGAAUUAAUAGACAAUUCAAUAGUAGUUAUGGACAUAUAUUUUGCUUGUGAAGUAACGAAUAUAAAUAUAAUUAACUUUUAUAUAUAAAUAUUUCAGUUUUAUCCGAACUCUACACGUUUCGCAUGUAUGUAAUAUGACGUAUAUAUGAUAUACUAAACAUUUUUACAAAAAUCACGACUUAAGACUUAAGGUCAAACGUUUCUUUUUGGUUUGCGUCAUAAACAAUUCAUUUUCAAAACUGUGUUGGUAAUAAGUUUGAUCUAUUUCACUUUGAUGUCGCUGCGUAAACUUUGGAUUACUCUGUUCAUUUUUUCUCCGUUAAAUCCUGUUAUAAACUAAUAUAAUAUACUAAGUUGUAUCAGGAAAAAUAUGCAUAUGAAAAGCGUUGUUGUGAGUGUUACCGAAAAGGGUUCUAUUAAUACUUCAAAAUGGCUUGGGAUACAGCGCAAGGUUGGAGAACGAAUGUUUAAUGGUAAUAUCAGUUUUUGUUUAGACUUAACGUGUAUGAAAGCAAUUUUUUUUUAAGAAGAAAGGGGGUCAUAACAAUGUAAAUAUACUAGAAUGUCAAAACAUGUAUUUUUAUUUUAUAUUAUUUUAUGUAAAUAUGAUAGAUUUUUUAUUCUUAAUACAUUUAUUUCAUUGCCGUUGCAUGUUUGGCUUUCGCUAAUAUAGGCCUUAUAAAGGAGAGUCGUAUAUAAGUAUUCAAAUCAUGCCCUUGUAUAAAAAAAUAGUAUGAACUUGAUCAACAGCGAUUACUUAAAAUGUACCGGAAAUGUUGUUUAACGUCAGCUGGUCAAAUGACAUAUCUUCGUUAAACUACCUGCGAAUAUGCGAAUAAACACAAAACGGUUUGUAUUACUGAUAGGAAAUUCUAUGUGCAAUCAACGUCUAAGCUGUGGUCAAAUCAAAGCCUGUUGAGAAGGCUCGUUUAUUUCUCAAUACAUCUCCACCCAAAACAAUCCUUACACAAAGUGUGCUUUUUCCUGAGAAUAUCAUAAGAAUGAGCAAUUGAUAGUAUUUUAUACUUCUUAAACAUUUUUUAUCUCGGGUCGAAAAUUCAAGGUCGUUUUCUUAAAAUAGGUGCAAACAAUAAAAGGUAUUUUAAUGUUCGUCCGAUGAAAGGUUUGGACCUGAUUAUUAAGAAUCAUUGAAAAGGCCUGGUACCUGGCUUUUCUAAGAUAAUAAACAUAUGUCGCCGGGUGAUGAAAAGUGUUAAGCCAGUCCGGAACUCGAUUCCCGAACCUCCCACUCUCAAAGACAGUACUCUACCGGGUGAGCUAACCGUGCUUCUAACACUUCUAAAUCACUAAGCCCGCUUACGUUCGGUACCGUUACGUUCUCCCCUGCCAAGUUGGAAUACGUACUCGACUUCACGAGUCCCGACGAACCCACGGGUACUUUCUUUGGAGAACUGAUUGUGCCACGGUCCCACGUUUGGCGCCAUGGUCGCAGGACGUGAAAAGUGCGCAGCCAAUCUAGGCCUCAGUACCUCUCGCUUACAAGGCGAGUGCUCUACCAUUGUGUUGCUUAAUUGUAAAACCAUUUUCUUUAUACAUGGUUAAUAUAUAGAGAAUAAUAGG